rnacentral:rRNA from 1 species
GACGAACGCUGGCGGCGUGCCUAAUACAUGCAAGUAGAACGCUGAAGGAGGAGCUUGCUCUUCUGGAUGAGUUGCGAACGGGUGAGUAACGCGUAGGUAACCUGCCUGGUAGCGGGGGAUAACUAUUGGAAACGAUAGCUAAUACCGCAUAAGAGUAGAUGUUGCAUGACAUUUGCUUAAAAGGUGCACUUGCAUCGCUACCAGAUGGACCUGCGUUGUAUUAGCUAGUUGGUGGGGUAACGGCUCACCAAGGCGACGAUACAUAGCCGACCUGAGAGGGUGAGCGGCCACACUGGGACUGAGACACGGCCCAGACUCCUACGGGAGGCAGCAGUAGGGAAUCUGCGGCAAUGGACGGAAGUCUGACCGAGCAACGCCGCGUGAGUGAAGAAGGUUUUCGGAUCGUAAAGCUCUGUUGUAAGAGAAGAACGAGUGUGAGAGUGGAAAGUUCACACUGUGACGGUAACUUACCAGAAAGGGACGGCUAACUACGUG